CUCAAGGCGUUUUUUCGCGUUGUGACAACGCCACACACAUAUUCACAAAGUUUUUG
rfam:Steinernema glaseri strain NC unplaced genomic scaffold GLAS_5433, whole genome shotgun sequence.